rnacentral:tRNA from 1 species
GGCUCAGUGGUCUAGUGGUAGGAGUUCGUGACAUUUGCCAUUAAUAAUGUAUCUCAUCUGACUCAUCUUUAGUUGUCGCUUCGGGUGGAAUCCCUGCAAAAAACUUGCAAAUGUGACAGGUCCCGCGUUCAAUCCGCGGCUGAGCCC